rnacentral:tRNA from 1 species
GUCUCGUUAGCUCAGUUGGUAGAGCAGCUGACUCUUAAUCAGCGGGUCGGGGGUUCGAAUCCCUUACGGGACACCA